rnacentral:rRNA from 1 species
UACGUAGGGUGCAAGCGUUGUCCGGAAUUAUUGGGCGUAAGGAGCUCGUAGGCGGUUUGUCGCGUCUGCUGUGAAAACUCGGGGCUUAACCCCGGGCCUGCAGUGGGUACGGGCAGACUAGAGUGCGGUAGGGGAGACUGGAAUUCCUGGUGUAGCGGUGAAAUGCGCAGAUAUCAGGAGGAACACCGGUGGCGAAGGCGGGUCUCUGGGCCGAUACUGACGCUGAGGAGCGAAAGCGUGGGGAGCGAACAGG